rnacentral:rRNA from 1 species
AGAGUUUGAUCCUGGCUCAGGAUGAACGCUGGCGGCGUGCCUAAUACAUGCAAGUCGAGCGAACGGACGAGAAGCUUGCUUCUCUGAUGUUAGCGGCGGACGGGUGAGUAACACGUGGAUAACCUACCUAUAAGACUGGGAUAACUUCGGGAAACCGGAGCUAAUACCGGAUAAUAUUUUGAACCGCAUGGUUCAAAAGUGAAAGACGGUCUUGCUGUCACUUAUAGAUGGAUCCGCGCUGCAUUAGCUAGUUGGUAAGGUAACGGCUUACCAAGGCAACGAUGCAUAGCCGACCUGAGAGGGUGAUCGGCCACACUGGAACUGAGACACGGUCCAGACUCCUACGGGAGGCAGCAGUAGGGAAUCUUCCGCAAUGGGCGAAAGCCUGACGGAGCAACGCCGCGUGAGUGAUGAAGGUCUUCGGAUCGUAAAACUCUGUUAUUAGGGAAGAACAUAUGUGUAAGUAACUGUGCACAUCUUGACGGUACCUAAUCAGAAAGCCACGGCUAACUACGUGCCAGCAGCCGCGGUAAUACGUAGGUGGCAAGCGUUAUCCGGAAUUAUUGGGCGUAAAGCGCGCGUAGGCGGUUUUUUAAGUCUGAUGUGAAAGCCCACGGCUCAACCGUGGAGGGUCAUUGGAAACUGGAAAACUUGAGUGCAGAAGAGGAAAGUGGAAUUCCAUGUGUAGCGGUGAAAUGCGCAGAGAUAUGGAGGAACACCAGUGGCGAAGGCGACUUUCUGGUCUGUAACUGACGCUGAUGUGCGAAAGCGUGGGGAUCAAACAGGAUUAGAUACCCUGGUAGUCCACGCCGUAAACGAUGAGUGCUAAGUGUUAGGGGUUUUCCGCCCCUUAGUGCUGCAGCUAACGCAUUAAGCACUCCGCCUGGGGAGUACGACCGCAAGGUUGAAACUCAAAGGAAUUGACGGGGACCCGCACAAGCGGUGGAGCAUGUGGUUUAAUUCGAAGCAACGCGAAGAACCUUACCAAAUCUUGACAUCCUUUGACAACUCUAGAGAUAGAGCCUUCCUCUUCGGGGGACAAAGUGACAGGUGGUGCAUGGUUGUCGUCAGCUCGUGUCGUGAGAUGUUGGGUUAAGUCCCGCAACGAGCGCAACCCUUAAGCUUAGUUGCCAUCAUUAAGUUGGGCACUCUAAGUUGACUGCCGGUGACAAACCGGAGGAAGGUGGGGAUGACGUCAAAUCAUCAUGCCCCUUAUGAUUUGGGCUACACACGUGCUACAAUGGACAAUACAAAGGGCAGCGAAACCGCGAGGUCAAGCAAAUCCCAUAAAGUUGUUCUCAGUUCGGAUUGUAGUCUGCAACUCGACUACAUGAAGCUGGAAUCGCUAGUAAUCGUAGAUCAGCAUGCUACGGUGAAUACGUUCCCGGGUCUUGUACACACCGCCCGUCACACCACGAGAGUUUGUAACACCCGAAGCCGGUGGAGUAACCUUUUAGGAGCUAGCCGUCGAAGGUGGGACAAAUGAUUGGGGUGAAGUCGUAACAAGGUAGCCGUAUCGGAAGGUGCGGCUGGAUCACCU